UGGGGAAUAUUGCACAAUGGGCGAAAGCCUGAUGCAGCAACGCCGCGUGAGUGAUGAAGGCCUUCGGGUUGUAAAGCUCUGUCUUUUGGGACGAUAAUGACGGUACCAAAGGAGGAAGCCACGGCUAACUACGUGCCAGCAGCCGCGGUAAUACGUAGGUGGCAAGCGUUGUCCGGAUUUACUGGGCGUAAAGGAUGCGUAGGCGGAUUUUUAAGUGAGAUGUGAAAACCCUAAGCUUAACUUGGGGACUGCAUUUCAUACUGGAAAUCUAGAGUGCGGGAGAGGAGAAUGGAAUUCCUAGUGUAGCGGUGAAAUGCGUAGAGAUUAGGAAGAACACCAGUGGCGAAGGCGAUUCUCUGGACCGUAACUGACGCUGAGGCAUGAAAGCGUGGGUAGCAAAACAGGAUUAGAUACCCUGGUAGUCCACGCCGUAAACGAUGAGUACUAGGUGUAGGAGGUAUCGACCCCUUCUGUGCCGCAGUUAACACAAUAAGUACUCCGCCUGGGAAGUACGAUCGCAAGAUUAAAAACUCAAAUGAAUUGACGGGGUCAUAGCUGUUUCCU
rnacentral:rRNA from 1 species